CAUUUCUGACAAGACUGUCCCUUUUGAAAGCCAAUAUGGUUGUUUGGAAAAUAAAUGUAUCAAUCUUCAUGUUAGUUUUGGUCAUAGUGAUUAUUACAUUAGAGAAAGUAGACUAUCAUAGAAAAACUUAGAAAUAUGCCAUAUAAUAUGAAUGGAAGAAAAUCAUGUCACGGCUCAGAGUGUUCUGGUGUAGUGAAAGACAGAAGAUAUUAAUAAAUAUUAGUAUAUGGGGAGCUCAGGACCAGGUGCUGAAUGUUGUCUACUUACACAUAAUAAUGGCAUUAGCUGGAAGGUAGAAUUUAACAUGAUCUGCUAACUGCCUCUCAUACGAUUAUUUCUCAGAGUUUGUGUGUACUCUGAGAAGCUCAAAAAGGAUCUAUUGUAAACAUGUAAGUGAAGUUACAGUGUGAACUAAAAGCUACCACCUUGUCAAUUAAGUAUACUAAAUAAAACAUUUGUAUCCAGUGCUAGUAUCAUUCAAUAUCUUUAGUAAUAUUUUGCUGUGACAUUUAUUCAUUCAUCAUAACCUGAAUUUAUAUGUCAUUUGUUUUGUCGUACCAGCUAAUUAUAGAGAACCAGAAAAGUAGUUCAAAUUACAGAAAGAGUUACUUGUGGUAGAAUGAGUAGUCUGAAUUUGCAUCUUAGGAAAAAUCAUUUAUGUUUCCAGUAUUGGAAAAUAUUUCAAGGAACUACUUUUAUUGAAAAAAAUCCUAUGUUCUUUAGAAAGCAGUUCAUGGAUCAUAUUAAUCACUUACAUGUCACCCUUCUUAUAUACCUUUACCAUAAGCUCUCAUUCUCUCUCUCCUCUUUCCUCCUGUCUUGUAUUCAUUACUACAUUCUUUCACCUUUUUUACUUUUGUAUUUUUGUUUAUCUGCCUGUGAAAUUAAGAGUUAAUGUUAUGGAAUCAGUGACCUCCUUCUACGACGUGGUUCUCAAGAUAGAGAUCACACCAUCACCAGCAGUCUUAGUACAAGCUACAAUUACUUAUAUCCACUUAACAGUUGAUUUUCAGUUGCUAUUAUUUAAUAAUUUUUAUUUAUGACAUAUAUACAUACACUUAUACGUAUAACAAUUAUUAAUUAAUUAUGAUUUUAACAAUGAUGUUUAUAAUUGCCAAUCCUUAACUAUAUAGGAACUGAAUC
ensembl:lncRNA